rnacentral:rRNA from 1 species
UACGUAGGGUGCGAGCGUUAAUCGGAAUUACUGGGCGUAAAGCGUGCGUAGGCGGUUCGUUAAGUCCGUUGUGAAAGCCCCGGGCUCAACCUGGGAACUGCAAUGGAAACUGGCGGGCUUGAGUGUGGCAGAGGGGGGUGGAAUUCCGCGUGUAGCAGUGAAAUGCGUAGAGAUGCGGAGGAACACCGAUGGCGAAGGCAGCCCCCUGGGCCAACACUGACGCUCAGGCACGAAAGCGUGGGGAGCAAACAGG